GCCAGUGUGGUGUAGUGGUUUGAGCAUUGGAAUAUGACUCUGGAGACCAUGGUUUAAAUCCAUGCUCAGCCA